rnacentral:rRNA from 1 species
GAGGGAAAGGUGAAAAGAACCGCUGUGAGCGGAGUGAAAGAGAACCUGCAACCGUGUGCCGACAAGGUGUCAGAGCCCCGCAAGGGGUGAUGGCGUGCCUUUUGCUUAAUGAGUCUGCGAGUUAUUGUCUGUGGCGUGCCGAAGGGCUUCUGGUCCAGAGGCGGAGCGAAAGCGAGUCCGAAAUGGGCGAACAUAGUCGCAGGCAGUAGACCCGAAGCGGAGGUGAUCUACCCAUGGCCAGGAUGAAGUCCCAGUAAAAUGGGAUGGAGGUCCGAACUGGUGAGCGUUGAAAAGCUCUCGGAUGAGCUGUGGGUAGGAGCGAAAGACUAAUCAAACCCCGUGAUAGCUGGUUCUCCCCGAAAUAGCUUGAGGGCUAGCCUUGCAUGCUGACCUGUAGAGGUAGAGCACUGGAUGGACGAGGGCCCAUACCCGGGUACCGAAUCCAAUCAAACUCCGAAUGCUACAGGGUGGAGUGCAGGAGUCAGACGGCGGGGGAUAAGCUUCGUCGUCGAGAGGGAAACAGCCCAGACCGUCAGCUAAGGUGCCUAACGACCGCUCAGUGGAAAGGAUGUGGGAUUUCUUAGACAGUGAGGAUGUUGGCUUAGAGGCAGCCAUCAUUUAAACAAAGCGUAACAGCUGACUCAUCGAGAGAUCCCGCGCCGAAAAUGAUUGGCGAUCAAGCGGUCGACCGAAGCUACGGACUCCAUCCCGGUUCGCCGGGGUGGAUUGGUAGGGGAGCGUUCUGUACGCAUCGAAGCGGAAGGGAAACCGACCGUGGAGUGUACGGAAGUGAGGAUGCAGACAUGAGUAGCGAUCAUCCCGGUGAAAUUCCGGGACGCCGUAAACCCAAGGUUUCCUGGGGAAGGUUCGUCCUCCCAGGGUUAGUCGGGUCCUAAGUCGAGGCCGCACGGCGUAGACGAUGGGCAGCAGGUUCAAUAUUCCUGCACCACCGACAUUUAACCGAUGUUGACGCAGAGACGGAGAGGGGCGAGGUGUUGAACGUCCUUGUCCCGCAAGGGGACGCGGAGGCCACGGCCGAAGCGGAUUCCUCAAAGUCCCUGCCGAGAAAACACAUCGGGUAUACUAAGGUGCCCGUACCGUAAACCGACACAGGUGGGUGAGUAGAAUAUACUAAGGUGCGCGAGUGAACCCUCUUCAAGGAACUCGGCAAUCUAACCCCGUAACUUCGGAAGAAGGGGUGCCCCGUCGCAAGACGGGGUCGCAGAGAAAUGGGCCUACCGACUGUUUAGCAAAAACACAGCACUCUGCUAAGUCGUGAAGACGACGUAUAGGGUGUGACACGUGACCAAUGCCGAAAGAUUACGGUAAGGGGUCAGCCGCAAGGCGAAGCUCCGAGCCCAAGUCCCGGUGAAUGUCGGCCGUAACUAUAACGGUCCUAAGGUAGCGAAAUUCCUUGUCGGGUAAGUUCCGACCUGCACGAAU